CACCCCCUUUCCCACAUGGUUCAACUUUCCUGUCUGUUUUUCCAUUAUUCCAUUAAGAUCAUGAUUAAUGGAAGCUCUCCUGAAUUUCAAAUAUUUUGAAAUCUGGCCAAGACCUAUUCGGAGGCUAAAUUGAAAACAAAUAACAAUAAAAAUAAGGUGAUGCAGGCUUUUAGUCUUUAGCGAAACCAUCACUGUGAUCUUUGUACCACUGCUACAGAAGAGGACAACAUUUCACAUUUCUGGCAUUGUUACUGACAACACGGCAACUGAAAGCAAGCAUGAAUUUCUGGGAGUAGCAUUAGGGUACAAGACUCCUGCUGAGCGCACCAGUUCCUUGCUCUGCACAGCUGCCUUCUCAGCUGGGGGUUUGAAAUCAGCACUGGGAGAAAAGACCGAAAUGACCAUGACGCAUGUGCCUCUCUAUGAGAAAAGAUAGUGGCGAUUUCAUAUUGCGUGCCCACAUUCAAAGUCUACCAGACUCAAGCUGAAGAACAGGCAGUUUGUGAAAUGAACAAUGCGAUCACUUGCAGAGGGGACGUGGUGAAAUGUUCAUCAUCUAAAGCAACAAUUCCUCCCAGGGAGGCACUGUGUGAGGACUUGGGUAUCCAGCAUGUAGCAAGAAAGACAGAGCCAUAGAACUUGGUAAAGGAAACAAGUUAUACCAAGCAAACAAAGAGAGAAAUGUAGUUUCGAAUUGUGUGGCCGAAGUCCACAGAACAGGAAUCCCAGAAGGAAAAGUGCAGGCUCACGGGCAAGCCGGAAGUGAAGGGGCUGAAGUGGAACUAAUUAGUGUGGACAGUACCCACGUGUGCCUCUCAUUGCUCUCAGGCUUCUGGCUUCAGUGAAGGGCAUCCUGCAUGAGCAGAUGGUGCCUUCCUCAUGAUGAUCAGAACAUACCUGGCCCAUGUUUUGGAGAUGUUGACUCAAUACAACUGGAAGUGAAGGAACUAUUUGUUUGAAAAAAAUUCUUUUCCUCAUUUGAGACUGGUGUUAAGAAAGGUAAAACUUGGACCUGGUUGAGCAUUGUGGUGUGAUGAUACCAUGAUAUGCUAAGGACCAUCCAUGGAAGUGCAUUUGCUUGAUCUCAUAAUUUGUCCCACUUUACCUGUUUUAUGCUAUUGCUUUUUCAUAUGACUUUUCUUAAAAUCACCAAUUUUUGCAUAAAAUGUUCCUAAAGCUAUUUUUGUAAAUAGGAUGACUUUGAUUUCCUUGGUUUGGUGAGUGGUUCUGCCUAUACUUUGCAGAAAUUCUAUUCUUUAAUUCUAGGCUUUGAGGUGGAAUUGUCUGAGACAGGGUUUGCACUCUGAAAAUUUGUAAAUGAUUUACUUCUGGUGUUCAUUCUUGAUCAUUCUGACCCAUGACUUUAAACUGAUUUCCUUCUUCUGAGACAUUCACUCCUUAGGAAUAUUUAACAAAUUCCUUCAGCUAUAUGAUGGAUAACAAGAUACAUCAAAUGUUACAGAGAAUCCACUUGGUUUGAUUAAUAAUCUAUUCCUCUGAAUUGUUUGAGGAGUGGAUGCUUGUACACACUUGUUUAGAAAAAUUUUCUUUAAUUUGAAAUGAAGUACUAGCUGUUGUUAAAAUUUUGC